rnacentral:tRNA from 1 species
GAUCCCGUAGCUCAGUUGGAUAGAGCGCCAGAUUCCGAAUCUGGAGGCCGCAGGUUCGAAUCCUGCCGGGAUCGCCA